AGCACGGUGGCUUAGUGGUUAGUAAGGUCACUGUUGCCUCGCACCUCUGGGGUUGCGGGUUUGAUUCCCGCCCUGUGUGU